AGCCCCCUCCUGUGAGCUCUGGGAGCUACAGAAUAAGGACACUCCUUGGCCCCAAGCCAGCCCCAGCUUGCUCGGGAGCCUGGGUUUCCCCCUCCGUCCCCAUCACCGCGAGGGUCUGUGCAUGGGAAUCUGCUCCAGAGGCUCCCUCAGGCGCCGCGCCGCGGGGAUACGCCUUUCACCGCCCCAGCAAUUGGAGCGCUGAGUCGAAGUCCUGAUUCCACGAUAGGCGGAUGAAGCCCUAACGCUGAAAUUCUUUCCUCUAGGUCUUUGGCAGCGGCUGGGGCCAAAGCCCGGGCAAGACCAACGCCUUCGGCACCCGGACUCAGGCUCCGUCCUCUCUGCCAGCGUGCGGCUACAAUGACUCGACAUGGCAGGUGGGCAAGCACAGCACGCCCCAACAGACAUGCUUUAUUUAAUAUGUACUAAAAAUACAGCAGGCCUGUGAAACCCACAGGUGCAAUUGCUUAAAAUGAGGCUAAGGUAGACGUGUGAAUGGUUAAUAAUGAGUUGAUUAAAAUAUUCAGAAAUCAUCUACUGGAGACGGGCAAACUGCAAAAUGGUAGCAUGGGAGCAACUGAUGUUCGAGAAAGCCCAGGCUCCGGCAAGCCGUGGGUUUGAAUUUACACAUGCGCACAUAAUGGGUAUGAAUAAACCUUUCUUCAAAAAAACCAGAUCAAGUCAAGGCAGUUAUUUGCUGUGGGCAGGUGCCAAGGCUGGCUGCUUCAGUCCCCACGCGAGUCGCCCCCGAGCCUGCUUCUGCAGCCCAGCCUGGAAAGUGCAAGGCACUUGGAAAGGAGCCACGCCCAACGCCCUGUACCAGCGGCCUCCCGGACACCAACAGCGUCCUCUGCGCCUGCUGCAGCUUGUCCCUUAGUCCUCCCUGGACAGAGGGCGUGAAGUUGGCUGCGCCAACAGGACGCGGCCCGCUCACUUCGGGGCUCAUUGUCCUGGACACACAGUCAGGGCUGGACGCCUCCAGCAGCCCCACGCUUCACCCCAAGGUCCGCAAACCUGACAACUUCGGAGGUAGGGAUAUCUUGACACAGUCUGAAAACAAACCAUUUAAAACUUUUUUUCUCAAAAAAUUAAAAUAAUUUUUUUCUGCUUACAAAAUCUAUAAAUUCAGUUCAAUAUCAAUGAAAAUCGCAACAGGAUGUUGACACUUGAGAAGCUGAUUUGAAAGUUCAUCUGAAAGAGAAAAUAUAUAGGAAUCCUGAAGAUGAUUUCGAAAACCUCCAAAAAGACUUCAGUAAUUCACACAGAAAAUCCAGAAACAGAUUCAUGUUUAUGGGGAAAUUUAGUAUUUGAUACAGGAGACCUUUCAAAGCCAAGCUGGAAAGAUGGAAGGUCAACAGAGGCUUUGGGGAAAACUCACUAUCCAUUUUGAAACCAAUGUUAGAAUCUUCUUACCAUUUGCAAGAAUAAACUCCAGGUGUAUUAAAGAGCUAAACAUUUAAAAAAUCUAUAAAAGUUUUAAAGCCAAAUAUGGAAGAAUAUUUUUAAAAUCCUAUGGUGAAGAAGGCUUUUACUAAGCAGCAAACAAAACCUGGAAACCGUAAAGGAAAUGACUGACAGAUUUGAAUAUUGCAAGAACUAAAUGAAUGCCUCCUUAAACAAAUUAAAGGACAAAUUCCAGGCAGGGAGAAAAUAGUUUACAAUAGAAGUAAUGUGCCAAUGGUUAAUAUCUGUGUUGCAUAAACAUGUCUUUCCAAUCAAUAAGAAAAGAGUAGGAAAUGGGUAAGGAUUUAACAGGCAAUUCACAGAAGACAAAGUAACCGGCCCCUAAAUGGGAGCAUAUCCUCAACUUCACUAGUAAUAAAGGAAACGAAUUUAAAAGACGAUACAUUUCUCACUUCUUCUCUCCUUAUAGCUGUAUUCCACCUUUGACCAUACAGCCUGUUUUUAUUUAUCGUAAGCAUAGGUUAAUAAAUACAGGGCUUACCAUGUUAAUAUCUUCUUUCUAUGGAUGCGUAACAACUUAUUUUAUCAUUCCGUUUGUGACUGAAAUUGAAUUUCUUUCUGUAAACCUGAAAAUAUCUGAGACAAGCCUCGAUCAACUUAGAAGUUUACUUUGCCAAGAUUAAGGACACGUCUUGGGAGACAGGUCUGUGCCUUUCUCCAAAGAUGAUUUCGAGGGCUUCAGUAUUUAAAGGAAAAAGCCAGCUGGAGGGGACAGAGGGAGGGUAUGGUCACAUUACUGAAUCCAAAUGUUGCAAAAGAAAAGGAGCAUGUAGGGGAAUGGUCAGUUAUGUGUUCGUCCCAUGCUCAGUAACUCGACUCUUCACACAAGAUAAGGCCACUGCCUUCAGAGAAGGUGACAGAGGGCCAUGUCUGAAACAUUCUCCCACAACCAGGAACCCUCAGCAGCCGCUGAAGAGGAAAGGCAGUUAAAUGGAAAGACUUCUGAGCAAGUGGAGGAAAAGUCACGUGUGACCUAGGGAGGGGCUCCCACAGGAAGGGGCAAUGCCCUUGCCCUGUUCACCUAGCCUCCAGGUGGCUUCCCACUUGAAAUUUCAGAGGAUGGCAGAAACCUACUUACAAGGAAAUGAAAGAGGGCACAGCAACCUUAAGACCAGAGCAGCCCACGAUAUUUUUUAAUGAGGGCAAAAAUAGAAGACUUGCAAAAGACCCCUGAAAAUAAUGCCUGGAAGCUGCGAAACAUCAGACUGACACCGCACAAAAGAGGUCCAGCUGAGCAGGAGAAAAGCUUGAGAAGCAUCCAGAACAAUGUAGGUGGAGAGGCUAAGAAGAAAGAGGAGCCCACAUGGAAUGAAUAACCAAGGUCGGGACAGAGGAAGGUUCGCCAGAACUGGGAGGGCUGAAAUUGGACAUUGAGAUAAAUUAAAGAGUGUUCUUUAAAACUGUCAAGACUUUGGCUGGUCAAUAAGUAAACUGCAAACGAGUGUUCCUAAACCACAGCAGCAAUGCUCCCUGGAGGAGGGAAGGAGGCCGGGGCUGCCACUCUCCCAGGUGGCUGCGUCCCGGCCUUUGCCAUUGAUGUGUGCUUUCUCCAGGCUCACAGAUGUCCCUGGGCCGGUUGCAUCUGUGACCAGGACUCUGCCACCUGCCUGUGGCUUGCUGAUCAGCUGGUCACCCAGGAAUGUUAGGGAUGAACAGAGACCUAGAACUCAGGCUCCAUGGAUCUGGCAGCACCAGGAGACGAGGUUUCAAAUCUCAUGGCUGGGCCAGCCAGCCAGGUGCCCUGGAACUGUUGUGAUCCCUGCUCCUUGCCGGGCUUAGCCUCCUCUUACUUCAGCCCAGAAGUCCCCGAGUACCCACUCAACAAAUGCCAUCCCUUUAAUUUCUGUGGCCUGCUGCCAUCACGGCUCGCCUAAUUCAUUCCCUCCACACCCUAAGUGUCCACGGAAGUGGCUGAAACAGUAAAACCACAGAGGAGCAUUCAUUCCAGUCCCCAAG
rnacentral:lncRNA from 1 species